rnacentral:tRNA from 1 species
UCCCUGGUGGCUCAGAUGUAAAGAAUCUGCCUGCAGUGCAGGAGUUCCCAGUUCGAUCUCUGGGUCAGGAAG